GUUCAAACGUGAAGAAGCCCUGGCAAGAAGUCAUACCACUUUGGAUAUGAAACCUCCGGUUACUCCUACCUUUUCAGAUCAAUUGGACCAAUUUCCCAUAAAAUCUGCUCACCUGCAACUUUUUGCUGAAAAUCUUUCAUCAAUGAAUAUUGCUUUUCAAUAUUUAUAAAUAAGUGGCAUAAAAAUUCCAUUUUAAUGUGCUUUGUAUCUGCCAUACUUUCUUCAAAAGCCAA
rnacentral:lncRNA from 1 species